rnacentral:rRNA from 1 species
UACAGAGGGGGCAAGCGUUGUUCGGAAUUACUGGGCGUAAAGGGCGCGUAGGCGGCCUGCUAAGUCGAACGUGAAAUCCCCGGGCUCAACCCGGGAACUGCGUCCGAUACUGGGAGGCUUGAAUCCGGGAGAGGGAUGUGGAAUUCCAGGUGUAGCGGUGAAAUGCGUAGAUAUCUGGAGGAACACCGGUGGCGAAGGCGGCAUCCUGGACCGGUAUUGACGCUGAGGCGCGAAAGCUAGGGGAGCAAACGGG